rnacentral:pre_miRNA from 1 species
CUACUACUCCCUCCGUCCGAAAAUACUUGUCAUUGAAAUGGAUGUAUCUAGAAGUAUUUUAGUUCUAGACACAUCCAUUUUGAUGACAAGUAAUUCUGGACGGAGGGAGUAUUAU